GUUGGGCUAUGGCUGAGGACAUGUGGAGCUUGGACGAGGAGGAACUGUGUUUGACAGAUUACAGAGGUGAAGUGAGGUGUAAUUACACAUGCAAACUGCAAUUAAUGAAUUAAUGAAUUACAUUCUUUGCUUGUUGUCUCCUAUAUUAUGUUAUGAUUUAGCAAAUAACUCAGGUCAUACUUGCUAAUAAAUGGUUUAGGAUGAAGUGAAAUUGAGUAAACACUGACAGAUAUAUUGAUAUCACAGUGCCGUACUCAUGCAUCCUCCCUUUUCUCUCCCUCUCUCUUUGCUGUGAUCUUCCAGGUUUCGCUGAGGUAGGUUGCCUCCUCAUUGGCUCCUCCUCAAAAAAGCAUGCAUGUUUGUCUUAUUCUGCCUGUUUGGCUUGCGUAAUCGUGUAAUCGCCACACUCAGGCCAGUGUUGCUCUUUCAGAUUUUACAUGGACAGAUGGAAUUCUUGGGUCUAGGAAGGUUAGCGGCAGAGCUCAAGAGGUUGCUGAAGGAUGUGGCACGCACCCCUCCAGAGACCAGAUGCUGUGAAUCUGUUUCAGAUCCCACAAACGAGUUCUGUGAGAGCUUUCAUCACUCCCUCGUGGUGUCAUGGUGAAGACUUCAGGACAACACAGGGCUUUGACCACUGACCAUUUGGCUGCAACAAUGAGUUUUGCUACAGGAUAUAGAUCCUCAAGUAAGAGCUCACAUUGAGGAUAAAACUGACCUUUAUGUUAUUCCAUAGGGACGUUGGCUUGAAAAAUAAAUGCAUAGAAGUAGUAAACUUUGAUUAAGUGAACAAAUAAGCAACGAUUGGCUCGUGUGUCAGUGCAGUCUGUGGUUUCACUUUUAUUUCAGUCAACAUUCAGGCAAAAUCAGCAACAUCGCUGCAGUAUCUCUGCUGGGCUGAGGUCAGUUAACCACAAACCAAAAUGCUGAUUGAUAAAAUCAGUAAAUACAUAGCAUCAGGAUGUAUAAGGUGACCUUGUAUGUCUUUAAUUCUUCAGCAGCCAAGUGCUACAAUUUGUGGCAUCUCAUUUAAUCUUGUUCAAAUGGAUUUUAAUCAUAUUCUAAUUUGAAUGGGUAAUUGUUCAUUUUUGGGAGGAAAAAAGUCCCUUCAUCAAAAAAUAAAAAGACAACCAAGAAACACAAAAACAUGUGAAAAGUUGACAAUUUUCAUACAUACAUAAAAGUAGUUGAAGUAAAAAAAGAGUGUCUGGGGACAGUCUGUUACAUUUCAUGAACCUUUGACAUUAAAAAAAGAACAAAACCAAAAUACAAA
rnacentral:lncRNA from 1 species